UACGAAGGGGGCUAGCGUUGUUCGGAAUUACUGGGCGUAAAGCGCGCGCAGGCGGUCCUUCAAGUCAGAGGUGAAAGCCCAGAGCUCAACUCUGGAACGGCCUUUGAGACUAGAGGACUUGGGUACGGGAGAGGUGAGUGGAAUUCCGAGUGUAGAGGUGAAAAUUCGUAGAUAUUCGGAAGAACACCAGUGGCGAAGGCGGCUCACUGGCCCGUUACCGACGCUCAGGCGCGACAGCGUGGGGAGCAAACAGG
rnacentral:rRNA from 1 species